UACGGAGGGGGCGAGCGUUAUUCGGAAUUAUUGGGCGUAAAGGGCGCGUAGGCGGCCCUGUAAGUCAAAGGUGAAAUCCCUCGGCUCGACUGAGGAACUGCCUUUGAAACUGCAGGGCUUGAGGCCGGGAGGGGGUAGCGGAAUUCCCAAUGUAGCGGUGAAAUGCGUAGAUAUUGGGAGGAACACCAGUGGCGAAGGCGGCUACCUGGACCGGUUCUGACGCUGAGGCGCGAAAGCGUGGGUAGCAAACAGG
rnacentral:rRNA from 1 species